GUGGGGAAUAUUGGACAAUGGGCGCAAGCCUGAUCCAGCCAUGCCGCGUGAGUGAUGAAGGCCCUAGGGUUGUAAAGCUCUUUCACCGGUGAAGAUAAUGACGGUAACCGGAGAAGAAGCCCCGGCUAACUUCGUGCCAGCAGCCGCGGUAAUACGAAGGGGGCUAGCGUUGUUCGGAAUUACUGGGCGUAAAGCGCACGUAGGCGGAUAUUUAAGUCAGGGGUGAAAUCCCAGAGCUCAACUCUGGAACUGCCUUUGAUACUGGGUAUCUUGAGUAUGGAAGAGGUAAGUGGAAUUGCGAGUGUAGAGGUGAAAUUCGUAGAUAUUCGCAGGAACACCAGUGGCGAAGGCGGCUUACUGGUCCAUUACUGACGCUGAGGUGCGAAAGCGUGGGGAGCAAACAGGAUUAGAAACCCCGGUAGUCC
rnacentral:rRNA from 1 species